rnacentral:lncRNA from 1 species
AUGAAAUCGCACAGUGAAGACACACACACACGCACACCCACACAUGUACACACCCCACAGACACACACACCCACACACCCAUACACCCACACAUGCACACACCCCCACAGACACAUAUCCAUGCACACCCACACACCCCCACGCACACCCCGUACACAUGCACACACACCCCCACACAGACACACAUGCACACAUACCCCCACAUACCCACACAUCCUCACAGACACACACCCACACACACACCCCGGACACACACACACACAUCCCCCACACACGCACACACGCGCACACACACACGCACACACAUCUACAGACACACAUCCAUGUACACCCACACACACGCGCCCGCACACGCUCACACACCCCCCAGACAGACACGCAAAUCCGGCCACCAAACCGGAACAUAAAUUACGGGUACUGGUCCUCACAUACGAGGAUAACCCAGCACACCCCCACGCACACACAUGCAUAUACGCACACAUGUACACACCCCCACACACCGACGGACACACAAAUACAAACAUGCACACACGCACGCACACACAUAUGCACGCCCUAGACAGAUAUACACACGCACACGCCCAUGCAGAUACACGCACAUAUGUACACCCAUGCACACUCACAGAAACAUGCACACACGCAGACACAUAUGCACACACAAGCACAUACCCCCACACACUCAUGCACAUCCACACACACCCACGCACACACAUAUACAAACAUGCACACACACACACACAUGCACACAUGCGUACACCCACACACACACCCAUGCACAGAAACACACACAGAUACACACAUGCACACACACACCCAUGCACACAGAUACACACACAUACAUGCACACACACACAGCCACACACACAUGCACACAGAUACUCACACACACGUGCACACACAGAUAUACACCCACACACAGAGAUGCACACCCAUGCACAAACCCACACACCCACGCGUGCACACGCACACACACACGUGCACAAACAUGCACCCAUGCACACCCACAACCCUCUCUCUGGUGCAUGCUAG